AUGUGGAAAAGGUCCUCCAUU
rnacentral:miRNA from 1 species